UUUGAUCAUGGCUCCAGAUUGAACGCUGGCGGGAUGCUUUAGCACAUGCAAGUCGAACGGCAGCACGGACUCGGUCUGGUGGCGAGUGGCGAACGGGUGAGUAAUGUAUCGGAACGUGCCUAGUAGCGGGGGAUAACUACGCGAAAGCGUAGCUAGCCGCAUACGCCCUUCGGGGAAAGCGGGGGACAGCUUCGGGCCUCGCACUAUUAGAGCGGCCGAUAUCGGAUUAGCUAGUUGGUGGGGUAACGGCUCACCAAGGCGACGAUCCGUAGCUGGUUUGAAGGACGACCAGCCACACUGGGACUGAGACACGGCCCAGACUCCUGCAGGAGGCAGCAGUGAAAUUUUGGACAAUGGGGGAAACCUGAUCCAGCCAUCCCGCGUGUGCGAUGAAGGCCUUCGGGUUGUAAAGCACUUUUGGCAGGGGAAAGAAACGGCACGGGAUAAUACCCCGUGCAACUGACGGCCGCCUGCAGAAUAAGCACCGGCUAACUACGUGCCAGCAGCCGCGGUAAUACGUAGGGUGCAAGCGUUAAUCGGAAUUACUGGGCGUAAAGCGUGCGCAAGAGCGGUUCGGAAGAAAGAUGUGAAAUCCCAGAGCUUAACUUUGGAACUGCAUUUUAACUACCGAGCUAGAGUGUCAGGGAGGUGGAAUUCCGCGUGUAGCAGUGAAAUGCGUAGAUAUGCGGAGGAACACCGAUGGCGAAGGCAGCCUCCUGGGAUAACACUGACGCUCAUGCACGAAAAGCAGUAAGAGCAAACAGGAUUAGAUACCCUGGUAGUCCGCCUAAACGAUGUCAACUAGCUGUUGGGGCCUUUGGAGCCUUGGCAGCACCGGCUAACGCCAGUUGACCGCCUGGGAAUACGGUCUAUAAGAUUAAAACUCAAAGGAAUUGACGGGGACCCGCACAAGCGGUGGAUGAUGUGGAUUAAUUCGAUGCAACGCGAAAAACCUUACCUACCCUUGACAUGUCUGGAAUCCCGAAAAAUUUGGGAGUGCUCGCAAAGAGAACGGAACUGCACAGGUGCUGCAUGGCUGUCGUCAGCUCGUGUCGUGAGAUGUUGGGUUAAAGUCCCACAACGAGCACCAGCCCUUGUCGUGAAUUGCUACGAAAGGGCACUCUAAUGAACUGCACCGGUAACAAACCGGAGGAAGGUGGGGAUGACGUCAAGUCCUCGUGGCCCCUUAUAGGUAGGGCUUCACACGUCAUACAAUGGUCAGGACAGAGGGUCGCCAACCCGCGAGGAGCCAAUCCCAGAAACCCGAUCGUAGUCCGGAUCGCAGUCUGCAACUCGACUGCGUGAAGUCAGAAUCGCUGGUAAUCGCGGAUCAGCAUGUCGCGGUGAAUACGUUCCCGGGUCUUGUACACACCGCCCGUCACACCAUGGGAGUAAGGUUUUUUGCAGAAGUGAUUAUUAUUCGUAAGGGCGAUUGCCACGAUAAAGUUACUGACUGGGGUGAAGUCGUAACAAGGUAG
rnacentral:rRNA from 1 species